rnacentral:tRNA from 1 species
GGGGUUGGGGAUUUAGCUCAGUGGUAGAGCGCUUGCCUAGGAAGCGCAAGGCCCUGGGUUCAGUCCCCAGCUCCG